UACAGAGGUCCCAAGCGUUGUUCGGAUUCACUUGGGCGUAAAGGGUGCGUAGGCGGUCGUGCAAGUCGGAUGUGAAAUCUCAGGGCUCAACCCUGAACUGACAUUCGAUACUGCGUGGCUAGAGUGCUGGAGAGGAGACUGGAAUUUACGGUGAGCAGUGAAAUGCGUAGAUAUCGUAAGGAAGACCAGUGGCGAAGGCGAGUCUCUGGACAGCAACUGACGCUGAGGCACGAAGGCCAGGGAGCAAACGGG
rnacentral:rRNA from 1 species